rnacentral:rRNA from 1 species
UACAGAGGUCCCAAGCGUUGUUCGGAUUCACUGGGCGUAAAGGGUGCGUAGGUGGCCCAGGUAAGUUUGGUGUGAAAGCUCGGAGCUUAACUCCGAAAAGUCAUUGAAUACUAUCUGGCUGGAGGGUCGGAGGGGAGACUGGAAUUCUCGGUGUAGCAGUGAAAUGCGUAGAUAUCGAGAGGAACACCAGUGGCGAAGGCGAGUCUCUGGACGACCCCUGACACUGAGGCACGAAAGCUAGGGGAGCAAACAGG